rnacentral:rRNA from 1 species
AUUGAACGCUGGCGGCAUGCUUUACACAUGCAAGUCGAACGGUAACAGGCCUUCGGGCGCUGACGAGUGGCGAACGGGUGAGUAAUGCAUCGGAACGUGCCCAGUCGUGGGGGAUAACGCAGCGAAAGCUGUGCUAAUACCGCAUACGAUCUAUGGAUGAAAGCGGGGGACCGUAAGGCCUCGCGCGAUUGGAGCGGCCGAUGUCAGAGUAAGGUAGUUGGUGGGGUAAAGGCUCACCAAGCCAACGAUCUGUAGCUGGGCUGAGAGGACGACCAGCCACACGGGAAAUGAAACACGGUCCAGACGCCUACGGUAGGUAGCAGUGGGGAAUUUUGGACAAUGGGCGCAAGCCUGAUCCAGCAAUGCCGCGUGCAGGAAGAAGGCCUUCGGGUUGUAAACUGCUUUUGUACGGAACGAAACGGCGAGCUCUAAUACAGUUUGCUAAUGACGGUACCGUAAGAAUAAGCACCGGCUAACUACGUGCCAGCCGCCGCCGUAAAAC